UUCCACCACUUUGGGGGGGGUUGCGGAGAUAAUUGUGCUCAAAGGAGAUAUAUUCACUGGGUGACAAAGUUCCUAUCAUAAACACACAAGUUGCCUUCACAACCAAUUCUGCAAAGC